CAUAAAAUUUACCAUUUUCAUUGACCCUAUCAGCAAUAUCACUAGUAAAUUAUAAUUUUGCUUCCUUUUACACUUCUUCUCUGUCAUUAGUCUUUAAGCUUUUUUUUUUUUCCUUUUUAUUUUUAAUAAAAAAGGGCGCCGCUUAUUUUCUAGGGUUUCAGUUUGUCGAAUCUAGGAUAACGAUGCUCCUUCAUCGAUUCUUUGUUCUUUUGGUUUCCUGUUGAACCUUUAUUGUACCGAAUUGUUCGGCUCAUCCGAGGUUAUUCAACUUGCUGCGUGUUAUUUUUUUUUUCGGAAUCUAUCAAGACCGCUAAUUGGGCACGAUUUGUAAUCUGGGUCAGGGUCAAAUCGUAAAUUUAUCUCUCCGUCAGUGGAGUCUACUGUUUCUCUUUGAUUCUCCUGGGGUUUGCUAAUUGUAAAUGGACGACGGGGAGCUUGAUUUUUCGAACCAAGAAGUGUUUUCGGGCAACAUGGCUGAUAUUCCAAGCAGUUGCUCCAUGGACAGUUUUUUCGAUGAAUUACUCAACGAUUCUCAUGCUUGUACCCAUACACACACUUGCAAUCCACCCGGCCCCGAUAACUCUCAUACACACACCUGUUUCCAUGUUCAUACCAAAAUUGUGCCUGCCCCAACUGAAGAUAAGGCUGCUAUUGAUGACACUGCGGAGUCUAGGGAGAAGAAAUCAAAGAAACGUCCAUUGGGUAAUCGGGAAGCUGUUAGGAAGUAUCGGGAAAAGGUUAAGGCACGAGCAGCCUCGUUGGAGGAUGAGGUUGUGAGAUUGAGGGCACUGAACCAGCAGCUGUUGAAGAGAUUGCAAGGUCAGGCUGCAUUGGAAGCUGAGAUUGCAAGGCUCAAAUGUUUGCUUGUGGAUAUUCGAGGAAGAAUUGAAGGGGAGAUUGGAUCGUUUCCUUAUCAGAAAUCAACAACUAAUGUUAACAUGAUGAAUUUGCCUGGUGCUUAUGUGAUGAAUCCCUGCAACGUGCAAUGCAAUGAUCAAAUGUAUUGCCUUCACCCUGGGGCCGAAGGUAAAACAGGAGAAGCAGCAGAGCUGAAUGGACAAGGAUUUAAUGGGUGUGAGUUUGACAAUCUUCCGUGUUUGGCAAAUCAGAACUCAGGAGAAAAGGAGCUUUCUACAUAUGGGGUUGGAAGUGCAGGGUCCAAUGGCAAUUCUUCUGGCACAAAAAGGAGGAAAGGUGCUCAUGCAGCUACAGCAGGUUGAAGAACUUUUGAGGUCAGCAUUAUCCAUAUUCUGCAGGGUACAUAUUUGUCUUCCAACAAGCAGUUUUCUUGGGCUGCAUUGCCAUCCCUCAGAUUUUAGGGAAGGUGGAAUAUCUUUGAUGUUUCAAUACUGUGAACCCUUUGUAGGUGAGUUACAAGUUUCACUCCCCGCAGUCGUAGCUUGUGAUUCACUUGGAAGCUACAAAUUAGCUUGCAUAGCUUUCAGCAAUUCCUAUUCCGGUUUUGCAUGACAUCAACUAGGCACAUGAAGUUUGCUUUUGCCAUAGCAUUCUGUUUGGGAAGGUUGCAAGAUGCCUACUCAAGCGGGAAGCUGUUGUUCAAACUGAGGUUUUGAUCAACGGUCGUGUGAUGGAAACUCAUAGUUGUCAAAGAUGGGGUAGUCAAACAUUACAAUUUUUUAUGUAACUGAUAAUUGUCCCUGAGAGUAUUAGCUGCAGUCUGGCUUGCUACAAGCCUACAAUUGAAACAAAAUGGAAAGAGAAAUGUGCCUUUGAAAUUUGGAAAAAAAACGUUGAAUUUUGAGGAUGGCAAAUAAUCUUCACUUUCCUUUAGAAA